GGAUGUGAGAGUUAUUUGCCUGUGAAAUCUGUCACCCCAUUGAUCUCCAGGGUUGACUCCCCUGAUCAAUCUGGCUAGACAGGUGUCCCCUUUAUCCCUCACCACUCAAUGUGUGUCCUUCCCUGAGUACAAGGUUGAAGAGAUUGACCUUCCCCAAAUAGAGACAGACCGGGUGUUCCGUGGAGGGUGUAUAACAGAUGUGCUCACCUGCCAGAACCUCUAAACAAGCUCUCAAGAAUCACACCCUAAAUCCACAGCCACUAAAAUGGACAAGCAAGUGAACUCUAAACAAUGCACCUGCACAUCUGGU
rnacentral:snRNA from 1 species